rnacentral:rRNA from 1 species
AAAAGAGUGCGUAAUAGCUCACUGGUCGAGUGAUCCUGCGCCGAAAAUGAUUGGCGAUCAAGCGUUAUACCGAAGCUCUGGACUUUGCCGCAAGGCAGAGUGGUAGAAGAGCGUUGCAUGCGCGUCGAAGGGCGAUGGCGACUGACCCUGGAGCACAUGCAAGUGAGUAUGCAGACAUGAGUAACGUUAAGCCGGGUGAAAUCCCCGGCCGCCGUAAACCCGAGGUUUCCAGGGCAACGUGUUUCGUCCCUGGGUUAGCCGGGACCUAAGCCGAGGCCGAGAGGCGUAGGCGAUGGACAUCAGGUUAAUAAUCCUGAGCUCGCAACCCUUAAACUGGGGGGACGCAUGAGAAAAGAUGACUAGGUUAUUGAAUUCCGAGUUGAGUCCACGGACUCAGCGCAUCAUUGGAUCGAGUGCCAAGAAAAGCCCCAGCGUAUGCUAAGCGACCCGUACCGCAAACCGACACAGGUGGGUGGGUAGAAUAUACCAAGGCGUAAGAGUGAAACCUGGUUAAGGAACUCGGCAAAUUAGCCCCGUAACUUCGGAAGAAGGGGUGCCUGCAGCGAUGCAGGCCGCAGAGAAAUGGCCCAACCGACUGUUUAUCAAAAACACAGCACUCUGCAAAGACGCAAGUCGAAGUAUAGGGUGUGACACGUGACCAAUGCCGAAAGAUUAAGGCAAGGGGUUAGCCGCAAGGCGAAGCUCUAAACCCAAGUCCCGGUGAAUGUCGGCCGUAACUAUAACGGUCCUAAGGUAGCGAAAUUCCUUGUCGGGUAAGUUCCGACCUGCACGAAUCGUGAAACGAGUUGGGCACUGUCUCAACCAGGCGCUCAGUGAAAUUGUAGUGGCGGUGAAGAUGCCGCCUACCCGCAGAAGGACGGAAAGACCCUAUAGACCUUAACUGUAAGCUGUCAUUGUUUCUUCGGUUUUAAUGCUCAGAGUAAGUGGGAGACGCUGAAGACGCCCUUUAGGGGGCGUCCGAGUCAUCAAUGAGACACCACCCUUUGAAACUGGAGGAUCUAACCCUGAGCCGUGAAUCCGGCCAGAGGACCGUGUCAGCCGGUCAGUUUUACUGGGGCGGUAUCCUCCCAAAGAGUAACGGAGGAGCGCGAAGGUGGGCUCAGCCCGGUUGGCAACCGGGUGUCGAGUGCAUGGGCAUAAGCCCGCCUAACUGUGAGACCAACAAGUCGAGCAGAUGCGAAAGCAGGCCCAAGUGAUCCGGCGGUAGAAAGUGGAAUUGCCGUCGCUCAACGGAUAAAAGGUACCUUAGGGAUAACAGGCUGAUCACGCCCAAGAGUUCAUAUCGACGGCGUGGUUUGGCACCUCGAUGUCGGCUCGUCGCAUCCUGGGGCUGGAGAAGGUCCCAAGGGUCCGGCUGUUCGCCGGUUAAAGCGGCACGCGAGCUGGGUUCAGAACGUCGCGAGACAGUUCGGUCCUCUAUCCUCUGUGGGCGUUGGAAAAUUGAGGGGUUCAGACCUUAGUACGAGAGGACCGGGUCUGACGCACCACUGGUGCAUCGGUUGUACUGUCAAGUGCAUGGCCGAGUAGCUAAGUGCGGACGGGAUAAGCGCUGAAAGCAUCUAAGCGCCAAGCCCUUCCCAAGAUGAGUUUUCCCUACAGGUUCGUGGAAGACCACCACGUUGAUAGGUCGCAGGUGUAAGUGCAGCAAUGUAUUGAGCCGAGCGAUACUAAUUACCAAUUGACUUCAUC